rnacentral:tRNA from 1 species
CAAGGAAUAGUUUAAAUAGAAUAUCAGCUUUGGGUGUUGAUGGUGGGGCUUUAGCCUUUUCCUUGA